rnacentral:lncRNA from 1 species
AGAUGAGGGAACGUAGGAACACUGGGGACUCUCCCCCAACUUACCAGGCCCCAGAAGUUAUUUCCCAGGCAGCGUUUUGACCAAGAUUGACAGAAAAAACUCACUAAGGGAGCCCCAAGGAAAGAACUUCGGUGAGCAAGACUUGAGGAAGAGGGCGUUAGGCCGCUGUGGUCCAGGACACGUCAGUUACAUGUGAAUCCCUUCUGGCAAUUCAGCAAUAGCCAUUGUAACUUUCAGGUUUUUGAUGUGGUCUCCUUUUUGCAGACAAUAGAGUUAUAUCCUCUCUUACUUCUGAGGUCUGCUGCCUUGUGGCAGAAGUUGACCACAUGGAAAUUUUCCACUUGGAAAUUCACACGUUGUUUCCUCUUGGUUUAUCGGUAGGCAGAAGUUACUACAUGGAGGGAGGGGGGAAACUGGUUUAACCUUGGCUGCUUGAUAGUGGAUCUGAAAGUCUAGUAUUGCAUGAGAAGUCCCUGCUAGAUAAAAUGUAAUAUUGGGGUCCCAUCUCCAGUGACUGUGGUUUAGUAGUUCCGGGUGGGCCUUGGCAGUAUACGUUUUUGAGCAAGCACCCCAAUAACUCUCAUAUGCAUGUUUCAAGACCUCGUGAUGUGGAGUACUGAUCUAGGUCCUCUUAGAACAGGAUGGAAGUUUGCUGAAGCGGGGACAAGAUUGGCCAUUGUGAAUGAUACUAACAUUGUGAUUAAGAGAACAAAUGUCUCUUUAGAUCUAAAGUCCUAAGCUUUUUGUCUUAGGCUGAAUUCCCCAGGAGGAGAGCCUAGACUGGUAUUUGGGUGUAUGUGAUGCAUUGGCGUGGUCUCAGGAAAAAGAUUAUAAAGGAAGUAGGAGAGCGCAAAGUAAGGCCCUAAGCAAGGGUGUGGGUUCAGCCGGAGGCUAGCUUUACUCGGAUCCCACAGGGAGCUCUGCGCGUGAGUUGUACCACAUGGCAUAUCCCACCCUGAGGAAAGAAGGCUAGCUUUUGGUACCUUUUGACAGCCAGUCACUGGCUGUGAGCUACCCUGGGAUGGGAGAUAGAAUCUUCUGGAUGAGCAGAGGGCAGAUCUCCAGGGAGAAGGCCUCUGUUGCCAUUAGCAACCAACCCUCAUGGCCACUGGGGAAUGGAUGCACCAGCCAGGUAAAAGGGACCGAGAAGAGUCACCAACAGCAUCCAUUGUGUUAUGACACCGUAGUGUCACAUGAGAGGCAUUUCACACUAUGGCUCCUGUUCUUGGUCACCCUGGCCACUCUUGCUGCUAUAAGCUUGCUACUCUUAAGUUUUUUGUUUGUUUGUUAUCAUUACAAGGGAAAACAUGGAUAGCAAAAAUAUUUGGCUUUUUGCUUUUUAGUAUUUCCCUUCUUGUGCUUUAGUAAAAAUUGUCAUCCUGCAGCAAAGUGUAGAUAAUAUGGCAGCAUCCUUUGUCAAUUUUGUCUCCUCACUUGAAGAAACAAUGACUUUGAAUACUGAAUUAUGGGUCCUUAGGCUGUAGUGAAAUCUUAAUGUGCUUUACUCAAAACUUCCUUUGCAGAUGAGUCCGUCUCACGCUUCUUGUAAUGAGAUUGCUCGUGGGGGAUGUUCGUUUGUUUAGGACUUUCUGUGAGAAAUAUGCUGUUCUGGAGACUAUUGAACUGGUUGUCAUUGGUUACUUGGCUUUAUUAAAUAAAACAGCCUCUUCUCAACUACCUUCUGUGGAACAUUAGUGUCUUUUGUACUGUAUUCUAUAGGAAAUAAGUCCUAUGGUCAAAUAAUUUUGGAGGGGAGGUGUUCUGUAUACUGUUUCCUUCUAGGAGAUUCACAGAGCACUUUGGCCUGUUAGAAGUUUCUCCAGACCCUGCAGGAAAGAAAACUGUUUACUCUUGCUUGGCUGAUCGAUUCUCAAACCUACCUGCUCAUGGAGAUGCUUGUCAUCACUGCCUCCCUCCUUUUUAUUUUUUCAGAAUACACAUUACCAGUUUACAGGACUAAUGUUCCAUAGUACACAGUUUGGAGAAUACCGAAAUGAAACUUUAUUCCUCAUCAUGUAUUACCAGGGCUUUCUGAGCAGCGAAGAACCAGUUCCACUCUUUUAUGUUGUAAAACCGGUCUCGACGCCUUAUCUACAUGCAAGGCAGGUGCAAAGCAGAUUUGGGGAUCAAAGUAGUCUCUGGAGAAAAAGGAUAGGUUAUUUGUUUGUCAUGCUGAAGGGGCUGUAAAAACAGUAACAUACUUAAUGAGGCUUCACUAUGGAUAUAUUAGUCUCCAUAAAACAUUUUAUUUAGCCUAACCUACAAUUACUUAAUGGCCAGUGAGUUUCAUAAACAGCUAGUCCCCAGCCUCAAACAUAUAUUAAGUGUCUGUUCUUUUGUGGAGUGAGUUUGCCAGGGAGAGUCAUGCAAGAUUAAAAAGAUAGAACAUUAAAAAUUCAGCCAAGACACACCAGGGCUGCCCUGAUGAUAACAACUACGGUGUGAUGUUUCUCAGUUCAUAUGGAUUCCCCAUACUGUUCUCAGUAGAAGAUAACCCUGCUAUUGCCCAAUACUCUUUCAUUAAAAAAUUAUUUGCACAGUCAUGGGUGUAUGGCAUUUCCUUUUUUGCUUAAGACAGACCCUCGGUGAGUUGAAUUUUUCUAAGGAAUUUUGAAUUGUAAGAGACAGAAAUGAAUGAAUAUUUAUUUAGAGGAAAAAUAUUGAGUCCUUACAUUUCCUACAGCACUUUGAAGUUUGCAGAGGGCUCCCUUCCCCCUUCCUCAACUAUCACUUUUGUACUUAAACAAAACCUCUGUGAGACAGUAGUAUUACCAGCACCACAAAAGUAGCAGAGGACUCUUGGAAAGCUGGCCAGAGCAGCCUUACAGAAUUCAGAAGCUUUAUUUACAUUCACCUGAACCGUUAUCCUAACUUCCUUCCUUCCUACUUAGUUAUGUUCAAUCAACUUAUCAUCUAGACUCAGCCACGAGCUUACUGUGUGUCCUGAUCCAUUGCUUAGCAAUCGUUCCCUCUUGGAUCAUGAGAGGUGGUAAGUUUCUAGGAUAUGUGUGUGAGUGCAUAUGUGUGCAAAUGUGUAGGAAUUGGUGAGGGAUGAAGGACUCAGAGAUCAUCUUUAGACAGAGUCCUGUGUUCCCCACCCAGGCGUGUGGAUUUUCUCUAGUAAGAAGGGUGAGGAGGCUAGGAUCUCGGAUGCCUUGGGCAACGUGGAAGAGGGCUUGGUACAGCAGAGGCUGUUACGGUGAAUAUGGGGGUCAGAGGAUGAAGGUCUGGGAAAUGGAUGGAGCCAAGGCAAUGGAGGGGAUUCCUGAGGUGGAACUGACCAGUCUUGGAGGUAAGGGAGAUACAGCAACUCAAGAUAUUGAUGAGGCGUCUAAUAGAGGUGGCCAAUAGUGCUGUUAUCAGAGAAGAGAACAAGAGGGAGACAACUGGGGUGGUAGCCUAGGGGGCGGCGGCGGGAGAGUUGAAACGAUAGAAGCCACUUUAGGAUGUGAUGAGCUUGAAGUGAAAUGUUUAGGUAGCUUGAAGUAGCCAUCCACAUUACAGAGAAAGAGAACAAAACCUGAGAUUUAGAGUUAAUGCUCGACAGUGUGUAAAGACCUGGACGCACAGACCAAAGCAUCUAGGAAGAGGGUGGCACCAGAUUGAAUCAGCCCACAUGACUCACACAUGUUAGAAAUGUCAUAUGUAUAUAUAUAUAUAUGUAUUUGGUCUUUUUUUUUGCCAUUUCUUGGGCCGCUCCUGCGGCAUAUGGAGGUUCCCAGGCUAGGAGUCGAAUCGGAGCUGUAGCCACUGGCCUACACCAGAGCCACAGCAACGCAGGAUCCGAGCCACGUCUGUGACCUACACCACAGCUCACGGCAAUACCAGAUCCUUAACCCACUGAGCAAGGCCAGGGAUCGAACCCGCAACCUCAUGGUUCCUAGUCAGAUUCGUUAACCACUGUGCCACAAUGGGAACUCUGGAAAUGUCAUAUGUUUUUACAACGUGUAAGGCAACUCCAUUUCAUACCGAGCACUCCUCCUUGUAGUCUGGGGGAAAACCUAAUUUCGUAUCUUUGAUUUUCCCUUCCUGAGGCAGUGCUGAGACAUCAGGAUGCAGAGUGGUGAUCUGGUCCUUGGUCACCUGUUGGGUAGGUUAUUUGCCAAGGCUUGCCAUCAUUCCUACUAGAUCCUUUUUCUCUGCCAUGGCUGUGCCAUGAGAUGCCACUUGUUGUUUUGUCUGAUGAGCUUCAGCUCCACCCAGCUCUUGGGCUUGGAGUUUUGCUGUCAACCUUUUGGGAGUGUGAGGGAAGCAUGGCUGCUCUGGGAUCCUUUGGUAUCGUUCGUCUUUCCUCUCUGAGUUUUAGCCCAGGGACCUCUCUUUCUAGGGCAGGGAAGGAAGAAAGGAUGAAGCGCCCUUCCUCUCGCUUCUCACAUACCCUCCCCUCUUCUCCCCCAAACCACCACUUCUCUUAAGGGCUUAAACAUGUUUGUGUGUGUGUGUGUGUGUGUUGGGGGAAAGGCAGACAGACUUGCUGGUUAUUUGCUUAUGGCCCUGAUGCAUGCCUCCUGGUAGCUGUGGAGGAUCACGAUGGCUACCACACUGAACUGGGAGGACGGAAACAAACAAAUACAGAUACAGAGAGAAACAAGAGUAAUAUCUGAAAAUACCAUCUAGCUACAGUGUUCAAGUAAGAGGAGAAACCAAGCAGACUUUGGGCUACAGAGUGUAGAGACAAGAGAGAACAGGAAGAUGAUAUCCAGGGAAGAAGCCAGAAAGCUCCCAGAGGAUGCAAAAAAAAGCACCACUCUCAGUAUGUUGAGAUGCAAGGCACGGCCCCAGCUAUGAUGAUACCAGGACAUGCCAGAGGAGGGCAGGCGAGUCAUAGCCCGGGGCUUUAAAGUAAGCCUGUGGAGUUCCCAUUGUGGCUCAGAGGUAGCAAACAUGACUAGUAUCCAUGAGGACUCGGGUUUGAUCCCUGGCCUCGCUCAGCGGGUUAAGGGUCCAGUGUUGCUGGGAGAGCUUCAGUGUAGGUUGCAGAUGAGGCUUGGAUCCCAAAUUGCUGUGGCUGUGGCUGGCAGCUGCAGCUCCAAUUUGAUCCCUAGCCUGGGAAACUCCAUAUGCCAUAGGUGUAGCCC